CUUCUCAUUGUGAAAAUCACAGUGAGUAGCGCCUCUAGCGGCUGUCAAUGAGACAGCUACUAGAGUCUGGAUUAACCCAUUGGUAAACAUAGGAGUUUCUCUGAAACUAUGUUUACAGUAGAAGGGGUUAAUCCUAGAGGGACCUGGCACGCAGAACACUUCAUUAAGCUGAAGUGGUCUGGAUGCCUAGAGUGGUCCUUUAAGUAAAG